UACGUAGGGGGCAAGCGUUGUCCGGAAUCAUUGGGCGUAAAGAGCGCGUAGGCGGUCCGGUAAGUCGUUUGUGAAAACUGGGGGCUCAACCCUCAGAGGCCGACCGAUACUGUCGGGCUAGAGUCCGGAAGAGGCGAGUGGAAUUCCUGGUGUAGCGGUGAAAUGCGCAGAUAUCAGGAGGAACACCAAUGGCGAAGGCAGCUCGCUGGGACGGUACUGACGCUGAGGAGCGAAAGCGUGGGGAGCGAACAGG
rnacentral:rRNA from 1 species